GACGAACGCUGGCGGCGUGCUUAACACAUGCAAGUCGAACGGAAAGGCCCGCUUGCGGGUACUCGAGUGGCGAACGGGUGAGUAACACGUGGGCAACCUGCCCUCAGCUCUGGGAUAACUCCGGGAAACCGGGGCUAAUACUGGAUAUCGACUUCUGCCUCGCAUGGGGUGUUGUUGAAAGUUUUUCGGCUGGGGAUGGGCCCGCGGCCUAUCAGCUUGUUGGUGGGGUGAUGGCCUACCAAGGCGACGACGGGUAGCCGGCCUGAGAGGGCGACCGGCCACACUGGGACUGAGACACGGCCCAGACUCCUACGGGAGGCAGCAGUGGGGAAUAUUGCGCAAUGGGCGGAAGCCUGACGCAGCGACGCCGCGUGAGGGAUGACGGCCUUCGGGUUGUAAACCUCUUUCAGCUCUGACGAAGCGAGAGUGACGGUAGGAGCAGAAUAAGCACCGGCCAACUACGUGCCAGCAGCCGCGGUAAUACGUAGGGUGCAAGCGUUGUCCGGAAUUAUUGGGCGUAAAGGGCUCGUAGGCGGUUUGUCGCGUCGGGAGUGAAAACCCAGGGCUCAACCCUGGGCCUGAUUCGAUACGGGCAGACUAGAGUUCGGUAGGGGAGACUGGAUUUCCUGGUGUAGCGGUGAAAUGCGCAGAUAUCAGAGGAACACCGGUGGCGAAGGCGGUCUCUGGGCNAAACUGACGCUGAGGAGCGAAAGCUGGGGAGCAAAUAGGAUUAGAUUACCCUGCUAGUCUACGCCGUAAACGUUGGGCGCUAGGUGUGGGAACCUUCCACGUUCUCCGUGCCGCAGCUAACGCAUUAAGCGCC
rnacentral:rRNA from 1 species